GACGAACCGUGCAAACGUUGUUCGGAAUCACUGGGCUUAAAGGGCGCGUAGGCGGGCAAGCAAGUCGAAGGUGAAAUCCCACGGCUCAACCCGUGGAAGUGCCCCCGAUACUGCUUGUCUUGAGGGAGAUAGGGGCGUGCGGAACUUCCGGUGGAGCGGUGAAAUGCGUAGAUAUCGGAAGGAACACCGGUGGCGAAAGCGGCGCGCUGGAUCUCUUCUGACGCUGAGGCGCGAAAGCCAGGGGAGCAAACGGG
rnacentral:rRNA from 1 species